UUGCACUACCUAAAUACUCUAAAGGUACUAGAACAUGUCUGACCUUGGAAGCUAAGUAGGAACAGCACUAGUUAGUAUUUGGAUGGGAGAUGGCCAACAAAUGCCAGGUGCUGUGUGGA
rnacentral:rRNA from 11 species